UCCCAGUGAAGGGCCUUCAGUGACCAAUGCUAUGGUUAGGGUAUCGCCAAAAAGGGACAGACUCAAGUACUUUUCCUCUGGAGCACACUUACCUCCGAGUUGACACCGUCUGAGGGGUUGAUACCUGCAUACUGGAUGAGAAGAAUGAAAAUCAGUGCUCAUCCUUCCUGCCCAGCCCUAGUGCCCACCUGGAAGUUCUCCCAUAGCUGAAUUACCUCUUAGUGACAGACGGGAUGAGACCCCCAUCUAGUGGCACCUUCCCAGUGUCUCGUGGUCACUGAACUCAAGGCUAUCAACCACACUGAUCUGGCGCCCUCAUUGGAGCCUCUGGCUGAUAGUGCCCUCAGUGUGCCUCAGUGAGGAUCACAGGCGUGUGCCAAGUGCGUCCUGUGACCGGCAGUGGCCCUGGCACGUAGAUGACACGCCAUCCACAGAACACUCAUCGUUACCAGAGACAAAGGACUAGGUAGCGGAGAGGAGAAGAGACCACCCCAGUCAGUGUAAUGGCCUCCCCUGAACCUGUGGGCUACACCUCAGUCAACCGGACUCACCCACGACUCCUUUCUAGUCUUCUGCCCUGGCGGAGAACUGUCCUCUGGGGCCUCCACCUUCCACACCAGGCCGGAAUGCAGGGGCCUUCAGGAAAGAACGGCCGCCCUUUGAAUCCCUGCUCACCAGAUGCCCGAGAGGAACUGCGGGAGUCUUGCUCAUGGCUCUCUUCCUGGUCCAGCACUGGGGAGAAUACCUCUGGGAAGAAGGCAUUCCUCCGCUCUUCAGCUACCUCUCGCUCCCUCCGCAGGACGCUCUCCACCUCCCUCUCCAGCAGGCUUCCCAGGAGGCUUGGACCACUCUUGUUUUGAGCUCAGAGAUCUUCUGGAGGAUUCUGAAACAUGCCUUGGAGACUCUGUGGUGUUCCGGAAGGCUGUGGCUUUGGUGUCCUCUGUGGAGUGGACACCACUUGGCUUGCUGUAUACUCCGAAGGCUGAGAAUUCUAAUUUGGGGGUCCCAGGGCCCAGGAACUGCUGCCGAGCAGCCAGGAAAUCGAUUUGCUCCGUGUCCACCAAGAUCUCCUCUGUGAAUGAAGACCGGGGAUGGCUGGCGAUCCUGGGGUCCCUAUGGUCUGAUGAAGCCUGGAGUGUGGCCACUGUGCCACCCUUCCUGACCGCCUGGCUCUGGAUGACUGCCCAGCGCUCGGCCUCCAGGUCCCUCGGCUGCCUGCAGAAGGCAUUGCUGCCGGCAUCCACGCGUUUCCCAAAUCUACAGGGCAGCCCUGGAGCCCCAGUCCAUGCUCAAGGCCACAACCUGACUGCACAGUCCAGAGGGUCACCAAUCUCAAGCGUAUACUCCAGCCCCUCACUGGGGACUUCUAGGAAGGGGAUCCGUUCUGGACCACACCCCCAGCCCCUCACUGGGGGAUUCUAGGCAGUGGCUUCACCUCAUCCCUGAUCAUGCCCUAGCUUCUCACUGUGGGAUUCAAGGCAGGGCUCACCCAUGACCACAACCCAACCCCUCACUGGGGUAAUUCUAGAUAGGGCUCCACCCCUGACUAUGCCCCCAGCCUCUCACUGGGGGAUUCUAGGAAGGGGAUCCAUUACUGACCACAUCCCCAGCCCCUCACUGGGGGAUUCUAGACAGGGAUCCACCCCUGACCACGCCCCUAGCCUCUCAUUGGGGGAUUCUAGGCAGGAGCUCCACCUAAACCACGCCCCAGCCCCUCACUGGAGGAUUCUAGGCAGGGGCUCCACCUAAACCACGCCCCAGCCCCUCACUGGGGGAUUCUAGGCAGGAGCUCCACCUAAACCACGCCCCAGCCCCUCACUGGGGGAUUCUAGGCGCGGCUCUACCCUUGAGCCCUGUUCCUGCCCACUCUUCCUUGUAUUUUGAAGCAGAGUGUCUUAAGCGGCUGGGCUUUCCCAGCACUCUAGCGGUCCUGUGGCGGAUACUCCCCCUUCCCCUUCCACAGCACUCUGAGAAGGGGAGAAUUUCAUUCUGUGUGGCUGGGUAGUCCUAAUGCAUACAGCAAGUACUUAGUCAAGGCUGGCUCAACGGACCCUGCUGCUCCUGGGUGCUCAGUCCGUGGCUUUCCAACUGCCUCCCAUCCUCUAGUCCAGAGCUGUAGUGCACCCAUGUUUGCAGGCUGACAGAUAUGUCGGGUAGUUUAUGACCCUUGUCAUCGGACAGUCAGACAUGACCUCUGGAGAAAGGGUUUCACCCUUCUAUAGGUGGAGUUCUCAUUCUUCUCCCGUGAUUCAGGUCAGAAGGUGGAGUUCUGGGGCAGGAUUCAAGGCCACUGGGUCCUUCUCUGAUAUGGGUUUGGCUGGCAGGACAACCUUCCCAAGGACCUAUAAAACUGAGUUUUUCUGGGUGUAGUGGCCCACUCCUUUAGCCCCAGUGGGAUGCAGAGGCAGGAGGAUCUCUGUGAGUUCUAGGCCAGCCAGGGCUACACAGGGAGGCCCUGUCUCCAAAAACCAAAAAACAACAAUAAUGAAAACAAUAAAACCUAAUUCAGCUUUAGGGGCCUGGUAAUGCAGUAAACAUUCAAUAGUAAGCUUCACACUGCUGGAGAUCUGAUCACUGAGGUUUCAAAUCCAGCAGGGGUCUCAGGGUCUCCUAAAGGGCCAGUGCUUAGAGUUAGGGGACAGUCUGAAGAAGCUCUGUUGGCUGCAAAGGAUCCCCUUAAGGUUGUCUUCUCCCCACCGGGUCACUUGUUAGUCCUUGUCCAUCAGUCCAUCAAUCACCUCUUUCAGGGCACAUGAGAACUGGGAAGAGGGCACCAAUUUUGUCUCUGCCCUGAAGAAACUUGGGCAUAGGCAAUUGAAGCUAGAAGUUCACAGAGCUGAUGGGGUACUUUCCAAAGGCCAUUCUUUCCCAAUUACCACCAAGGCUCCAAGAAGCCUGCUCCACCCAGAGGCACCUGGAACUGUGACUCCCUAUUGAAACUGGGUUUAUGGUCCCUGUGGGUGCACUUGCUUCCUCUGGCCUCCUACCCACAGGGCAAAGGGCUCCUGGGUGGGGCCACCACCUAGUAAGGUGGUGCCCUUAGGAGACCUCUAUCCUGUCCCUUCAGAACUUUUUGUUGCCUAGAUAGUUGGCCUUGGGGAAACCUGUCAAGGUUUACCUCUGACCCUGGACUCUGGAGAAGCCUGAGCCUCAACCCAGGCCAUGGCUCCUCUGGUUUCUUCAAAGCAGGCCCUGAAUCCAUGGGUCUUCACAGACCUCUGGCCACGAGGGUGUCCUUGGUUCCAGCCUCUUUCUCAGUGAACUAUGAUUUGGCGUUCCGGCAUUUGGGGUACAAAUGGAAACCUUAUCCGUAUCAGGCCCAGGGUCUCUUUUGGGUUAGCUGGUGGCAGAGCAGGUUCUGAAAUCCAGGAGGACAACAUGGGGCCCCAGCCAAGGCCAAGGCUGGUGAGGUACAGACUGGGAUGGGGGUUCCCUGCCGCCCCCAGUUGGCGAGCCAGCCCUGCCAGUAGACACACCUCAAACAGACCCCUUCUCCUUCUGUGAGUGCCUCACCUUUCCCUGCUCCGGACUCCCAACUUCCAGGACUCCCAGCGUCCCCAGCCUCACAUGCCAGCUUCAGGUGCCCAGGCCACCUCCCAGCCUCAGGCUCUGCAGGAAAGGCCCCUGGACUCCGCCCUGGCCACAUGUUGCCAAGGGAACGGAGGCCCCACCCAGGAGCAGGUGCGCCCCUCCUCUCCGUCCCCACCCGGACAUGGGAAACAAAGUCCAGAGGAGACAGAAAAACGAUACUCCGGGCUGACGAGGGCGGGCACUGUGCCCGCUGCAGGCCUUGGUCUUACAGAGCCGGAACUGAGCCUGGGCUUCCCACCUUUCUCAAGUCCCGCUGAGGAGGGCCGUACCCCUGCGGAACGGGGAGACAGAAUCCCAAGACUGCGCUGACUCGUGAAACCCCUUUGAAUCUGUGUCUUCUUUCAAUUAGUGCCCUCUUUGAUCCAGGUAGACUGAAAAACAGAUGUGCGUGAUGAUCCCAGCCGAGCAGAUAGCACAGCAGGACCCGGAAACUCGGAGAUCUGAAGUUCUGGCUCCUACUCUGACCCUGCUCAACCCUCUUACCCUUCCUCGUCCAGGAAAUGGGGAUUCUCCCUGUCACAUGCACACCAGAGUUCACAUGAAGUAAUGAUGCCUUCAGAAACACCCAGCGAAGCCAGAAGUACAGAGAAAGGGCCUGUCACCCCCAGCAAUAGGGGGCCUGAGGCAGUGGGAUUGCUAUUUGAGGCCAGGUUUGGCUACAGAGUGAGACCUCUCUCAAAAACUCAAAAAUAAACGUAGAAAAUGUUCAGGAACACUGGCUGGACAGGUCCAGUGCCAUGUGAGGUGAGGGCCAAGGCACCCACCAGCCCCCUCGGGGACCAAGUGGUUCUGGCAGCCCAUGGCCUGAGGGACCAGAGCAUAUAGUGCUGGGGUUCCUGACCUCCCCCCUGGACUGGUUUGUGGGCCCCCUCUGAAUCUCUGUCUUUCCCUCCAGUCAGUGGUCCCUCAGCCUGACUCCAGGGGCCUUUGACAGAUGUGGUGACAGAGCCUGCCCAUCGCCGACCACCGAGGAGACGCUCAAAGGCAGGGUGUGCCAUAGCAGUUCUUCCCAGAGCCCCUUCGGGCCCUGUCAUCCCUAUUUGGUAAAGUGCAGGGCAUAUCCAGUCCCACAGUCAGUGGGAUUUGAAUGAGCACCUCUCUCCUUACAUUGUAGACACUCCGCCUUUACCAACCACCUUUCACAGGGGAACUGAGUCCCGAAAGGACCUCCGAUUGAGCCCACACACCUGACAUCUCGGUACUCAGGAAACUGAUGCAGGAGGAUUACUGCGAGUUUGAGGUCUCAAGUCUGAAAUACCCCAUGUGUUGGGGACACUGUACUUCUAGACAGCCAUUUUAUACAGAUAGGGAAACUGAGGCCAAAGGAGAAAAUUUUCUCCAAAACCAAAGGGAGGGAAAAAGAGGGGAGUGUCCCCUACUCUGCAGAACCUAGCUCAGAACUUGUGGGGUAUCUGUAAGGACCUCUCAAUUCCCAACAUCACAGCCCAAGGACAUGGGUGUGGCAGAUGUGGAGACUGAGGUCCUGGGGGUGUUUACCCACAGCUGUCCCUUACCUGUCCAGGUGCCAGCAGGGUCCUGGAGGAGAUGCCCAGUGAGGAGCUCACCCUGAGGGCAGCAGUGGCCACGGGGAAGAGAAGCCUUCUCCUGCGUCCUGCAGGGCCUGGCCUUUUAUGGCUCCACCAGGAGGCCGCACCCCUUCCCGCCCAGAUGAAACCCAAGAACUUCAGCAACCUGGCUCUGCACACUUUUUUUUUUUUUUUUAAUCUGUUUCUCUGGGAAAGUCAAGAACAUGGGGGUGAAGGGUGGGGCCUCGUCACACGUCAAAAGCAGAAGGGGGCAGCAAGGGCACUUCAGCCGAGGCUCAGGGCUUGAGGAACUCAGGCAGAAUCAGAGGAGGAGGAAAAGGAGGGGCACCAUGACCGUGGCCAUGGGUCACCCCUCAGUGAAGAGCGCCUCUCCUCCAGGCCACGGGAAGGACGGGACACAGACCCCGUCGUGGCCUCUGCUUGUGGCCCUACUGCAGCUGCGGGUAGUGACGGGACUCUGCAGGGGGUCCUGUGCCCUGCUGCACACCAGGCUGGAGUCCCAAGAAAGGGACCUGGACCGGGCGUGGUCCUUUGAAGCUGAGUCAGCGCCUGUGUGCAAGGUUGUGCCUCUGGGGACCAAAGUGGCUACUGCUGCCUGUCUGCCCGAAGGUUGGUGACCUCCUGCCAGGCUCCCGUCUGGCCAGGUGGCAGGUGGGGGGUUCCCUUACUCCCACCCAAGGUGUGUGUGUGGAGCAACCUAAUCCUGCCUGGAAACGCUAGGCUUUGCAGUGCUGGCAGACAUACCCACUGACUUCUGGGGUAUGGGGGUAUGUGGGAAACCCAGGACCCUGGUCCAAGCCAACUAGAGAAGAGGGCAGAGGUGACCCCGAAGGUCCCAAAAUUAGCACCAGGAAGAAGGGCCCAGUGUGUGCAUGGAGGGGAGGGGACACUUAGGACAGGGAGUGGCUUGGCUGACCAACAAUGACUCCAUCUUGUGGGUGACUGUUCCAUCCCCAGUGAAGGGCUUCUCCUGUUUUGAGCUCCGCUACCUACUGGAGGGGAUCCACAGGUGCCCGUCCUCCACGUUAGGACGUCAAGACUUUGAGUCCCCAAAGAAGUGUGGCCUCAUCUCACUUGCCCACAUUUGGCUGCUGGCGCCUUGGCCAGGGAGAGCCUUUCUGGUCCCCUCGGAGACUCCCCAAAAGUAACAAUAAGGCACAGACAGGCUGGCCUGGGGCGGCAAGGGGACACCAGGCUGGGACCAUGGUGGGCAUAAGCCACCUGUGUAAACCUGCUGUGACCUGGACUGGGGGGAUCCCCAUUCUUAGAGGGGCUGAUAAGGGUCAGCCUGUCUCUCACCAAGGGAUGACACACGGCUCAGAGGUACGGGGUGAGUGUGGAGUGUGGUGACGGGCACAGCACCCCCCACCCGCGACUCGAGGUGCAUAGGGACCACACACGUGUCUGGGGCCUGUGAGGCGGAGGGUGAAGGUGGGCAGGCGCCGGGGAGGGCCGGGCUGCUGGGUUUGAGUGUGGAGCAUAGGACAGGGACCGGGGACUGGGGUGCCCCGACGGCUCACAUGACAGAACAGCAUCUACAGCGAGGCUUCUUCAUGUCAAGAUCUUGGGUGUCGCUGGGUGUGGUCGUGGGCCCCGUCUGGUUCUCCUCCUUGGUGGCUGGGAGCUCAGC